CCUACGGGUGGCUGCAGUGAGGAAUAUUGGUCAAUGGACGAGAGUCUGAACCAGCCAAGUAGCGUGAAGGAUGACUGCCCUAUGGGUUGUAAACUUCUUUUAUAUGGGAAUAAAACGUUCCACGUGUGGGAUUUUGUAUGUACCAUAUGAAUAAGGAUCGGCUAACUCCGUGCCAGCAGCCGCGGUAAUACGGAGGAUCCGAGCGUUAUCCGGAUUUAUUGGGUUUAAAGGGAGCGUAGGUGGAUUGUUAAGUCAGUUGUGAAAGUUUGCGGCUCAACCGUAAAAUUGCAGUUGAAACUGGCAGUCUUGAGUACAGUAGAGGUGGGCGGAAGUCGUGGUGUAGCGGUGAAAUGCUUAGAUAGCACGAAGAACUCCGAUUGCGAAGGCAGUUCACUGGACUGCAACUGACACUGAGGCUCGAAAGUGUGGGUAUCAAACAGGAUUAGAUACCCUUGUAGUC
rnacentral:rRNA from 1 species